AUUGAACGCUGGCGGCAUGCCUUACACAUGCCAGUCGAACGGUAACAGGUCUUCGGAUGCUGACGAGUGGCGGACGGGUGCGUAAUACAUCGGAACGUGCCCGAACCUGGGGGUUAACGAGGCGUAAGCUUGGCUAAUACCCCAUACGAUCUACGGCUGACAGCGGGGGAACUCCGGACCUCGUCCGGCCGGACCGGCCGAUGUCGGAUUAGGUAGUUGUUGGGAUAAAAGCGUACCAAGCCGACGAUCUGUAGCUGGUCUGAGAGGAUGAUCAGCCACACUGGAACUGAGACACGGCCCAGACUCCUACGGGAGGCAGCAGUGGGGAAUUUUGGACAAUGGGCGAAAGCCUGAUCCAGCCAUGCCGCGUGCGGGAUGAAGGCCUUUGGGUUGUAAACUGCUUUUGUACGGAAAGAAAAGCAUCUUUCUAAUAACGAGGGGUCAUGACGGUACCGUAAGAAUAAGCACCGGCUAACUACGUG
rnacentral:rRNA from 1 species